UUUGUGUUGUUUACUAAUCAAAGAGGCAUGCUCAUUUCAUUUCUUGCAUAGUAAUAAAAGGUUAGUGCAUAUCUUCUUCUCAAAAGUUUCUACCAUCUUCUUGCUUUCAAUUCUGUAACAAGGAACAACACUCAAGAAGUAAAUAAGGGUGAGAAAAAAUUUCAUUCAAUUAUGUUUAUUAAACAGGUAAUGUUGGUAUAUGAACAUUAUCAAGCAAUAUGCAGGUUCCCCUCUGAGAUCUUUCAGAGUUCUUGAGAUUCUUGGUCACUUCAUAUUUUUUUCUUCAUAUUCUUCAUCAACUACCCCCCAAUUAUUUCUUGUCUAUAAUACUCUAUUUUCUUUACCCCUCUCAUUAAAUACACAACAUUGUUAAAUUGUAUACUUUUUCUUCUUUGAAGCAACAUAUUGGGAUCAAGAUUAAGAUCCCUUUUAUUUUCUCUCUUUCAUCCAUUAUGGUUGGUUUGGUUGGUUAAGCUUAUGUCAAAAUAGAUGGUUAAGCUUUGAAAGAAGUUGCUUCUGUCUAUGGUGAUUAAACGUCAGUGUUGCUUCACAUUCAGAUUUCAAGACUGGGUGAUGAAGAUUCACUCACCAGCAAGAGGAGAUAUUAUAGUAUAUCAUUGUGUUCAACACAAUUAUUUCAAGCUUGGAAUGCUUAAUACAAUCCAGCUUGCAGAGG
rnacentral:lncRNA from 1 species